CACACAGGCCAAAAACUUUGGUGAGAAAUAGACAGACAGCUCUCUGAUAACAAGAAAUGACCUCAAAAGUAACAAAAAGGAGGGGGGGGGGAAGCACACAUUUUGAUUUGAGUACAACACAAGAGUAGCUAAAGCCAAAGAAGGCCUGACUGAAUACUGGAAUUUCUCAGGCCAAAGAGGACAAGCAGAAGAGGGCGGAGCUAUGGAGUCCCAUGGAAAUUUCAGAAAAUGACGUCAGGAAACAUUAGCUAACUGGCCCACCAGCGCCAUUCCUGAAUUCAGACAGACUCUUGAGUCAGAACAGCUGAAGGAACUGAGGUCCGAGGAGAGAAAUUAACAAGUCCCUUCACACAACUGAUGUCUUUAAAGGUCUCUUUAUUGACUGUCAGACCAUGCAUGCAUUGUUCUGCUGAUGAACCAGAUGAAAUGAUGGAGUACGAGUUAUGAGCUGACCCCUCGAUUAGCAUAUUGAAUUUCAUCGGGUUAUGUUCUUGGAGCCUGUGCUGUUUGCCAUGAGAAAGACAUUCCUCAAGGAACAUCCUUCAGCCUGGACAUGGAGAUAAAGACCGGAAGCAGCUCAUUCUAGUGCAGGAAAGCCUACGCCAGUGCUGAUGACCUUUGCUAGUCCACACACUGCUCACUAACGUUGGAAGGAAAAAGGAUUGUUUCUAUGGCCCAUUAAAAUUUGGCAGGGGUGUCUGUUAUAUAGCAUUACUAUAACACUGAUAAAGUGCCCCUAAAUCACAAAUUUAUUAAGGGGGAAAAAUAACAGAAAAAUACUUCUUUUAUGUCUGUGAUGAACAAGUAAAGAUUUACUUGUGUCAAUAUCUAAAAGCAAGUAGUGGGAAAGGAGCCACUCUGACCUGUGAGGUGCUGGUAUCACCUCUUCAUGCUAGAAAGUACGCCUGAUAUGAAAUUGUAUAAAGAGGCACUACUACCUGCCCAGUGGAUCUUCCUAGUGAACUUGUGAAAGUGUUUAAGUAAACUGUGUGUAAAUUGCAUAUGCAAUUGCAAGGCCUGUCAUAACUCCCCUGCAUUAUAAGAGAAAAAUCUUGUAUUACUUAACAUUCGGUUCUUCUUGAUUACAGUGUCCUUUCCAAACAAGGGGGCAUUGUGGGAACACCCUUUUCACUACAGGAUGUGUGCUGAAGGUUAAAGCACUGACUGCUCAAUUGUCUGUUUUAAAAAUGCUACCAGGGCAUUUGAGCGUAUUGAAGGUGUCUGAAUUUUCCUCACUUUUCAGCACUAUGAAGAGAAUGUUGUUCCCUUUAAGGUUACUGGCAGGCACACACUGUCAGUGUCUGUGAAGAGUUGAGUAUUCAGGAAUUGUUGCUAAUUGCCUCUCCUCUACACUUCACAUCGCUACUACAGAGCUGGCAAAAGACUCUUUUGUUGCAAUGAAUUCCAUCUUUGUUUUCAGAUACUAAUCAGUCUUUUGGAAGGAAUGAAUGUUGCUGUUAAAAGCAAGCAGCAAAUAUAGAUCAUACUGUGAAGGAAAGUUCUAGCUAAUACAUGCAUUACCACACACAACCCUGAGAUCUGAAUUAAAGGGCAAAUUAUU